GGAACACAGGGCAGACCCCCAGGAAUCGGUGCCCCCCGCCACCCUCCAGGGCUCAGGGGAGAGGGGCGCGUCCGUCCCCUAGUCAGGAGUGGAACCCUCUGGAAACAGCCCAUCACCACCUCUCCGGUCUAUCGCUGGGCCCCCUCUUUCAUAGAUCCCUGUUUUGUUCCUCUGUUUCUCCCACCCGAUGGCGAACCCUCGAGGGUUAUUCAAGCCCCUUGGGCGAUUCGGAUAAAUCCGGGCAGGCUCAGCCUCGCCCCUCUGGCUCCUGCAGACGCUGGGAUGGGGGUUCCCCGGGCGGGUGCCUGGGCACCCCUGUCCUCAGCACCCGCCGGGCCCCCUCAGGCCAAGACAGCCGCCCUCUGGGAGGGGCUCGGGUCCCCGAGGGUCUGCAGCAGCAAGAGAAGCCCAGGAGAAGGAAGGGGCCCCAGCGGCCAACAGGUGUGCCCGCGUCAGUAGCUCACAAAAUGAAUCCAGCCCACUCUUCCAUCCACAUCACACGUCCACACGGCAGGCGGUUCUCGCCAACCACAGUCUCCGCAAGCAGCACACUUCCGAUCACUGUGCGGCGGCCUCCCCGCGGCCGACCGGGUCUGAGCCAGACGGGAGCACGAGCCGCGAGUGUCUACGGGGGAACCGGCCCUUCCCAAGAGUGCCUGCUCAGGCAGGACCCGGUCCUGGGCUCCAGGCAGGGGGAGCCGCCCCUGUGACUCGCUCCCCGGGGCUGGGCCUGAACUGACCUGGCCGGAGACUGGCGGCCGGGACGAGCACCCCCGCCUGCCUGGGCACACAGGAGGGCAGGGAUGGGGUCUGGCCUUCCGCCUAACCAGGCUUCUUUUCCCUUCCGGCGGAUGGGCUGCAGGCCACAGGACACACCCCACAGGGCUCCGGCAGCCGCCGAAAAGGGGGAGCCCCUCACCCCCAGACCAAGCUUCCAGGGAGCUGGGAAAUAUUCACGCUGGGGAUGGGGGCACGCGCCCGCGGGCAGGGGCUUCUCCUGGGGAAGGGGGGGCUGCCGGGUCAGCCCCCCCGCCCCCAGCCACUCGCCAAGCUUCCUUC
rnacentral:lncRNA from 1 species